AAAACCAAAAUGUGUUCUUAUUCAAAUAAAAAUAGUCUUUAAAUUCUUUAUACAAGAAGAAAACACUUAAACUGUAAAUGAACUCAAGAUACCCAUAUGAUGAAUAUGAUCCUUGAAUUUGUUUGCCGGCAAUGCUUUAGUCAUAGGAUCAGCAAUCAUUAUCUCAGUCCCAAUGUGUUGGAUAUCCACAUUCUUCUUGUCGUAUUCUUUCACAGCAAGAUACUUUAUAUCAAUAUGUUUACUGCGAUCUGUAGUUCGACUAUUCCUUGCAAAGAACACUGCUGCAGAGUUGUCGCAAUAAAUCGUAAUUGGCCUUGAGAUAGAGUCGAUAACUUUUAAACCUGAGAUAAAAUUUCUCAGCCAUAAAGCCUAUGAGGAAGCCUCAUAGCAAGCGAUGAACUCUGCCUCCAUGGUGGAUGUACCAAUUGUAUCUUGCUUAGUGCUCCUCUAAGAUAUAGCACCUUGAGCAAGUAAGAAAAUAUAUCCUGAUGUAGACUUUCUAGAAUCCACGCAUCCAGUAAAAUCAGAGUCCGAAUAUCCAACCACCUCAAGAUGGUCAAAAUGUCUGUAGGUGAGCAUGUAAUACUUUGUUCCUUGUAAAUAUUUCAUAACCUUCUUUGCAUCUUUUCAAUGAUCAAGGCUAGGAUUGCUUUGGUAUUUACCCAAUAUUCCCACUGCAUGAGUUAUAUCAGGUCUGGUACAAACCUGCGCAUACAUCAAACUCCUUACUGCCGAGGCAUAGAGUAUACUUUUCAUAUGCUCUCAUUCUAAAUCAUUCUGAGGACACUGUUUCUGAUUGAAUUUGUCGCCUUUUAUAAUAGGCAUAGCUGUAGGUGCACAAUUUGCUGUAUUAAACUUUUCUAGAACUCUUUCAAGAUAGACUUUCUGAGAUAGACCCAAAAUCCUUUGAGAUCUAUUUCUGUGAAUCUUUAUGCCAAUGACAUAAGAAGCUUCACCUAUAUCCUUCAUCUCAAAAUUCUUAGAAAGAAAAUUUGUGGUCUCUUUAAGCAAACUCAAAUCACUACUUGUAAGCAGAAUGCCAUCUAUAUACAGGACUAAGAAAAUAUACUUACUCCCACUAACCUUAAGGUAUAUGCACUGGUCUACAAUAUUUUCUACGAAACUGAAUGUAGUAAUUACAUUAUGUAACUUGAUAUACCACUGACGGAAAGUCUGUUUAAGUCCGUAUAUAGAUUUCUUUGGUCUGCAAACAAGGUAAUUAUUUUCAUCUGUGCUAAAACCUUCGGGCUGUUGCAUAUAGACUAUCUCCUCUAUAUCCCUAUUUAGAAAUGUUGUUUUCACAUCCAUCUGAUAUAACUCCAAAUCAAAAUGAACUACCAAAGCCAUUGUAAUUCUUAAUGAAUCAUUCUUUGAUACCGGAGAGAAGGUUUUAUGAUAAUCAAUGCCUUCCUUUUGAGUGAAACUUUUGGCAACAAGUCUGGCCUUAUAUCGUUCUAUGUUACCUAAAGAGUACCUUUUGGUUUUGAAGACUCAUUUACAGUCAAUGGCUUUGAUUCCUUGUGGUAACUCAACGAGAUCUCAAACUUUGUUAUCUGCCAUAGAUUUCAUCUCUUCCUUCAUGACAUCAUACCAUAGGAAGGAUUUAUCUCCCUGCAUGGCUUCUGAAAACGUCCAUGGGUCUUUAUGGUGUCCGAUAUCAAAGUCAAACUCCUGAAGAUAGGCUACAUAAUCAUUAGGAAUUACUUGUCUCCUUUGUCUUGAGGAUCUUUUAAGCCAACCUCUUCCUACAUAUUUUCAUUAUUUUGUGCAGCUGGCUCUAUAAUUAUCUGUUCCUCUUGUGACAGCUCUUCAUGGGGAGGUUCAACUGGUUCAGCAUUGUCAUGCUCCAAGAUUAGUUGAUCUCCAUUAUGGUCAAAUUGACCUCCUGGAAGAGCAACUAGAUUAUUAUCUGUUGAUAGAUAACCAGUUGAAUCCCUUAUUUCCUCAAAAUCUAUCUUUUUAGGAACACCACUCCCACUAGCUUCAGAAUCCUCAAGAAAUUUGGCAUUUAUGGCCUCAACUAUCUUGAAUGAGUUAUUUGGACAAUAAAAUCUGAAUCCUUUGAAUUUUACCGCAUAACCAAUGAAAUAUCCACUGACUGUUCGAGGGCCCAACUUCUUUAUGUGUGGAUUAUAAACCCUCACCUCAGCUGGACAUCCUCAUACAUGCAGUUGAUUUAAACUAGGUUUCCACCCUUUCCAUAACUCAAAAGGAGUUUUAGAAAUAGCCUUCGGAAUCCUAUUUAAAACAUACACCGUUGUCUUUAGUGCUUCACUCCAAAGAGAAGAUGGAAGACAAUAGCUGCUAAUCAUGCUACUUACCAUGCCCAUGAGUGUUCUAUUCCUUCUUUCGGCAACACCAUUUUGUUGGGGCGUGCCAAGCAUCGUAUAUUGUGCAAUGAUGCCUUCACUUUCGAGGAAUUGAGCAAAUGGACCGGCCAUUUGACCUUUAUUUGUAUGUCUUCCAUAAUACUCACCCCCCCUAUCGGACCUUACAAUUUUGAUUUUCCUAGCCAAUUACUUCUCUACCGCAACCUUAUAAGCUUUAAAAGUAUCAAGCGCCUCAGCUUUUUCAAAUAAGAGAUAGAGAUACAUGUAUCUUAAAUGGUCAUCAAUAAAUGAGAUAAAAUAUAUCUGAAUAUUGAAACAAGGAGUAGGAAAAGGUCCACAGAUAUCUGUAUAUAUGAUCUCAAGAAUUUCUUCUUUUUUUUUUUUGAGAGAGAUAGAUAGCACGCUACCCGCUUCGUUUAUUUUAUUUAGAAAUAAACUUAGCUAGAAAUGUGAAUCAACUAGGAUUCGAACUUGGGUCUCGGGUACCAACCACCAAGCCCUUUGCCACUUGCUCUAUGGACGGUCGGUAUGAUCUUAAGAAUUUCAGAACUCCUUUUGGCACCUUUAGUGGUAUUUGUGUUAGUAUACUUUUCCUUUAUGCAUUCUAUACAAGUACCAAAAUCGGUAAAGUCAAGAUCUUGUAAGAUCCUUUCUUUUACUAAUCUCUUUAUUUUCUCUAAAGAGAUAUGGGCUAAACGCUUGUGCCAUAAAUAAGAGAAGUUUUCCUUAAGAAUGUUCCUUUUAACACUAAUGCCAUGAUCAAUAUUAAAAUUACUUUCAAAAGAUUGACUCAAAUUAAAUUUGUACAAAUCAUCUACCAAACAACCAUUGCCAACAAUAACAUUAUCAGAGAACAUAGUAAAAUAUUCAUUUUCAAAUAAAAAUUUGAAACCUUUAUUUCUCAAUUUAGAAACAGAAACUAAGUUUUUAGAAAAUUUAGGAAUAUAAAAUGUAUCUUCAAGUUCAAGUACAAAACCAGUACUAAGUUCUAAAAUGAACUUUCCUACGGCUUUAACUUUAAAUUUAUUUCCUUCUCCGCUAAUUAAAAUCCUUUCCUUUGGCUUCAACAUUUUUAGGUUGUGAAAAUCCUGCAUAGUAUUUGAGAUAUGUACAGUAGUUCCAGAGUCAAUCCACCGUGUGUUUUUAGAAACAUUAACUAAAUGAGAUUCAUAACAAAUAUAGACAGUUUCAAUACCUUUCUUUUCGAGCCAAGCUUUAUGCUUCAAACAGUCCCUUUUCAUGUGUCCUCUCUUUUUAUAAAAGUAGCAUUGAUCUUUCUUGUCAGAAUUCUUUAUUGGCAACUGAGCUGACUUCUUAUAAUUAGAGGCACCCUUGAUUUUUCCCUUUUUGUGCUGAGUCGCCAGAUUAACAAAUUUUGUAAUAGUUUUUGGCUUCUCCUGCUUAAGCCUCUCCUCUUUUUGAACACACAUAAUCAAUAAUUCAUUUAUUAACCAUUCAUCCUUAUGUGUGUUAUAGGAGAUCUUAAAAGGGUCAAACUCAGACGGUAAUAAGUUUAGAAUUAGAUGGAUUAAAAAAGUGUCGGAAAUCUCAACUUUUAAAGCCUUUAGUUGAGCCGCUAUGUUCCGCAUCUCCAUGAUAUGCUCGCGCACACCCUUGGCUCGAUUGUACUUGAUGCCCGAAAGUCGCUUCAUCAGCGUGCUCACCAAAGCUUUAUCGAAGCUGACAAACUGCUCCUCAAUAGCCUUUAGGUAAUCCUUGACUUUAUCACAUUCUGGAACUGAUCCCCUUAUACUUUUUGAUACUCUAGACUUUAUGAGCAUCAAGCUUAAGUGGUUGGAUCGCUGCAGCGGAUUCCUGUUAUGGAGUCAUUGGCCCCACUACCUUAGGCGGUUGCUCAAUGCGCAGAGCCAAGUCUAAAUCCAUAUAAUCCAAAGUAAAAGAAAUAAUUUAUUUCCAAUCAAAAUAGUUGUCCCCAGUAAGUAUAGGGAUACGAGAAACAUCAUUAAGAAAUGCAGUAAAAGAAGAAGCUGCAAGAACAAAGGAAAUAUUUAACUUUAUCGCCUACUAUAAGAUAAUAAUCUUUAGAUUAGAUAAAUUCUACCUUCCUGUAGACAGAGGUGCUACACGCAUAGAAUUCAUCUACUUCAAUAAUUAGACUGGUAGAAAACUAAUUUCUAAACAACAAGAUUUCUGUACCUAUGGGCAUAAAAAAACUCACUAUCUAGAAAUUCAAUACACUAUCUUAUUCCAGUUAAAAUUCAAAAAAUUAUUUUAUUUGACUGCAAUAAAUAGUCAAACUUUAAUUCAAUAUCAGUAAAUCCUUAUAUAUUCUUCAUUAUCUACAGGAUGCUAUGGCUACUCCUAAGUAUAAUGAAAAAUACAAAUUAUCUUAUUUGACAUUGAAUGACUAUUUAAAAAAUAAAUUAGAAAUCCAUAUAAAUUUUUGGGUUAAUUUUAAAUCAAUAUCAUCUUAUAAAAAUACCAUAAGUGAUCAUAUACCAUGACUAGGAUGCUGUGGCUACUCCUAAACAUAGUUAAUCUCACAUUAAUCUUUAUAUGAUAUUGAAUGACUGAAAAUUUCAUAGUAUUCCAAAACGCAACGAAAAAGAAUAAAAUCUAGAGUAAUUUUCUUAACAAUUUUAUGUGACUCAAAAUUUAUAAACUAUAUGAAGUCUAUAUAUUCUACUCUAAAUUUUUUCAUGAUUGCAGUGUUUAGAAUAAUAAUGUAAAAAUUACACCGCAAAAAAAAAUUAGUCUAAACACAUUACUUUAUAUCAUGAAUAAACUAAUGAGUAGUAUAAAAAUUGUAUAUAAUAAAUAGCAAACAUUAUACAUAACUUUAAUAUAUAGACUUCUUCCGGAAUAAGUCACGCUUAUAAAGAAAAUCAAAAUUAUACACACACACACAGAAAGAAAAUCAAAAUUACACACACACACACACGCGCGCGCACACACACUGUCACGCCCCGCGACCACCCGCCUAUUUGGCCGGGUCGCGGCGCCGCAACAGAUCGCCGAACGGACAGGGUUUUCCCUGUACUGCGGACAGAAUCUCCCCUGCACGUUCAAGGCAUAGCAAUCAAUACAAUGUACAAAGUUCCAACCAGGAACACAUUUCAAUCAAGAUUGCAUAAUGGAAGGUAUCAAACAACAUAACACAUCUUAUGUUAUUACAUGCAUUCACAUUCACUAGAUACAUUUUACAUCCCGAGUACUUAUUACAUUUAACUUCCAAAUACAAUCUGAUUUAAUAUGAUUAUUACAACUUGAUUCUUUUCAUUUUCUUGCAUCCCUAAGUAAGGCCGACUCAGGGUACCGCUAUCUCUGGUCUCGGUGGUAGGGCGCUAACUAUGGAGCUACGCCCUUGCCUCGCGCCGCCGCGCCGCUCACGUGCGAACCUGUAACACCCCAAAACCAUGUGGGGUGAGAACCAACUCCAUGGUUCCCAGUGGGUACGGCCACCCAAGGGAAAAGCUCGACCAAUAGGUCCAAGGGAGGCAACUGCAAGUUAGUUCAAUAAACAGAUAGAUAUAUAUCUUGAUUAUGCAACGAAUAAAACCAUGCAUUGCCUCACGAAUGCAAUAAUGCAAUGCUAUAUGCAAAUCAUGCAAUAAUGCAACUAUGCAACCAACUAGUAGUUCAUUUGACACUACUUUCAAUUCUGCUAACCAUAGCUCAUCCAUUCGAUAUCUAAGGUUUCCUCUAUCUUAGAUUCUUGUCAAUCACCGUUUUAAUCAUAAAGUUUCAUCUACCUUUACAAGGCUAACCACCCGACUCGGUCUUGAGUCAAUCGUCUGCGGAGUACCGCACUAGAACCAGGCUCGAGGCGAUGGACGUCUCACAUACACCUCAGCCCUAAAUCCUCUCGACUAGGAUACCAAAUCCAUAACUCAUAAUGCAUACUUGUUGUACACUCAUUUGGCUAUGACCCAAUCUUACCGGUUAACCAUGUUAACCCCAAUAACUCACAACCAAAUCCCUUAAUAACGGGGGACUCGAACCUCCCUAGGGACCGUCAACUGGUGGGACUUUACCACGCCCAGUGGUGACCAACUCCGGAGCGCACCGCCCGAGGGGGAGCUACCUCCCUCAAGCCAAGACGUAACGUGAGUAUCGAUCCAAUCCUCAACUUGAGGAUUCAUAGCCACUCGUCACAAUGCCAAUGUCAUGAUAGGUCUCUACCUAUUUAAUCAUGCCACUCUCUAUGUCAACUUGGACCAAUGUCAAUAUGGUUAAACUAUGUUUAACAAUCACUUUCUUGAUGCCAAUCAUGUCUCUAUUGUCAUUGUCACCCUUGUUUACUAAUGUUCAAGUCCAACUCUCACAUUUACACAAUAAUAGGGUCCUAACAUACAUGAAUGACACCAGAAUAUAUAUGAUCAAUCACCACAAGUGUUUGCUAGGUUCAAGAUGCUAGGUUUAAUGCCACUCGAUCUAAUAUAUAUAUAGAUUGUCCACUAUGUUCCACAACAUGGCAAUAUGUCAUCAAGUAUGUUUUUCUAUUUAACAUAAUCCACAAUAUGUAAAUUCAUAAUAUAUCAUCAUGCACAUAUACCACUAGCAUCACAUGAUUUGUCAACAUACAUAUAGUCAUUAUCCAAAAUAGUCCAUACUUAGCAUCUCAUGCAUUCUUUUAGCACUUAAUUCAUUAUGCAUUACAUUUAGCAUAUUCUACAACAUGUCAUCAUACAUUCCUUUUAUGAUGUUCUUAUAAUGCUAACAUUCAUACGCCCUUUAUAUUAUGCAUUCAAAGCAUUAAUCAUAUGCAUUUAUCUAGCAUUUCUAUAGUAUGUUAACAUGCAUUCUUUUCACAUUCUUAUAUUAUGUCAAUAUGCAUCAAUAUGAAAUCUCAUUUCUUAGACAUAAAGGGCGACCUAGUCGCUUCGGUAAGCACAACCCACCUCAUUUCGCAUUCCGAUUGCUUGUCGACACUUGCAAUCGGCCUCCCGCGGCACCCGGCACCCGGUUUGGCCCGAUCUCUCACGCGACCACCCGAACGGCCUCCAAUUCACGAUCCGAAAAUUAAAGGUCUUCGGUUAUGUGCCACGAUGCUUCAAAUCCAUUUUCAUGAAUUUACGAUAUCGCCUCGGCCCUCCAGGCGAAAACGAAGCCUAAACGUCCGUUUCUUUAAUAACUUCGCAACGGCUCGACGAAUCGCCGAACCGUCUUCGCCAACGCGUUCGUUUACCUAGCAAUUAGAUUUACAGAGGGUCAAAUGAGAUCAAACCCUCAUAUUUACCAAAUUAGCAUUUUCGAGCCCUAAAUUACAACUAGGUAAAAAUCCACCAUUAGAGCCUUGGUUUCAAGCAUCAAACCUCUAAUUAGCAUACUAGAAUACCUCUAAAUCCACUCUUAGAGCUUAAAAACCAAACUAGAGAGAAAUGCCAUUAAAGGGUUUGAAGCUUACCUUCAAAGCUUGCUCCAAUGGAGAGGAAGAAGACGAAGAAGAUGAAGAUCAAUUUCCAAGCUUGUUUCUCCACCAAAACCUCCAAUUUUUGGGAGAGAUUUAGAGAGAAAAUGGGAGGUUCCUCUUUCUCCCUCUCCAAGCGUGUGUGCGUGUGUGUCGCGUGGGUGUGUGUGUGCGGCUGGUUAGGGAAGAAGAAGCCAAGAGCUUCUAUUUAAUUACACCCCAAUACUAUUCAUCCCGGGCAGCUUGAAAUCUGAUAACUUUCGCCGAAGCUUCCUGAAUGUCCGUUUGAGUUCAAACUUGACAGUCAUAUUCGGUUUUACUUAACUUAACAAGCUGACUAUCACUGGUUCAGUUUCGACCCGUUUGGUCACUGAAAACUGUACCGAACUGCAAUCUUUAUCAGAUAGAUUUCGAAUUUUAUUUCUCACUCUACGGGUGUCAGAAAAAUAUGAAACCUUAAAUCUAGCCUCAUAAAAAUAUUUCUGACAUCUCUGCCAAUUUUCAUAAUUUUUUGAGACUGUGCAUUUUUUGCUAAUUUAUCUGCCCCGUUUCCAACAGAAAAUUCUAAAUCUUCUGUUUUAAUUCCGAUUUCAGCACAAGUCACUUCUGACUUAUGUUUUACUUCUAUAAAUCCAAUAAAAAUAGUUUCCCACACUAUUUUUAUUUAUUUUUAUUUUUAUACCAAAAUCUG
rnacentral:lncRNA from 1 species